rnacentral:ncRNA from 1 species
CCCGUAUAAUGCCGGGAAUGGGCCCGGCAGUCUCUACCGGGCGACCGGAAAUCGCCCGACUACGGG